UACGAAGGGGGCUAGCGUUGCUCGGAAUCACUGGGCGUAAAGGGUGCGUAGGCGGGUUUUUAAGUCAGCGGUGAAAUCCUGGAGCUCAACUCCAGAACUGCCUUUGAUACUGAAAGUCUUGAGUAUGGGAGAGGUGAGUGGAACUGCGAGUGUAGAGGUGAAAUUCGUAGAUAUUCGCAAGAACACCAGUGGCGAAGGCGGCUCACUGGCCCAUAACUGACGCUGAGGAACGAAAGCGUGGGGAGCAAACAGG
rnacentral:rRNA from 1 species